UUUUUUCCUGUAGCAAUAUAGGGAAAAGUCUAGCGGCGAACGGGUGCUUAACACGUGGGCAAUCUGUCUUAAAGUGGGGGAUAGCUCGGCGAAAGCCGAAUUAAUACCGCAUGUGAUUAGAGUGGACAUCCAUUCGAAAUUAAAGUCGGGGCAACCUGACGCUUUUUGAGGAGCCCGCGGCCUAUCAGCUAGUUGGUGAGGUAACGGCCCACCAAGGCUUUGACGGGUAGCUGGUCUGAGAGGACGACCAGCCACACUGGGACUGAGACACGGCCCAGACACCUACGGGUGGCAGCAGUCGAGAAUUUUUCUCAAUGGGGGAAACCCUGAAGGAGCGACGCCGCGUGGAGGAUGAAGGUCUUCGGGUUGUAAACUCCUGUCAUUUGGGAACAAUGCGCCGGCAUUAACUGUGUCGGCGUUGAUAGUACCAGAAGAGGAAGAGACGGCUAACUCUGUGCCAGCAGCCGCGGUAAUACAGAGGUCUCAAGCGUUGUUCGGAUUCAUUGGGCGUAAAGGGUGCGUAGGCGGCGCGGUAAGUCGGGUGUGAAAUCUCGGAGCUUAACUCCGAAACUGCAUUCGAUACUGCCGUGCUUGAGGACUGGAGAGGAGACUGGAAUUUACGGUGUAGCGGUGAAAUGCGUAGAUAUCGUAAGGAAGACCAGUGGCGAAGGCGGGUCUCUGGACAGUUCCUGACGCUGAGGCACGAAGGCCAGGGGAGCAAACGGGAUUAGAUACCCCGGUAGUCCUGGCAGUAAACGGUGCACGUUUGGUGUGGGAAGGAUUCGACCCCUUCUGCGCC
rnacentral:rRNA from 1 species